CCUACGGGAGGCAGCAGUGGGGAAUCUUGCACAAUGGGCGAAAGCCUGAUGCAGCAACGCCGCGUGCGGGAAGAAGGCCUUAGGGUUGUAAACCGCUUUCAGCAGGGAAGAAAAUGACGGUACCUGUAGAAGAAGGUGCGGCCAACUACGUGCCAGCAGCCGCGGUAAU
rnacentral:rRNA from 1 species